GGGGAAUCUUCCGCAAUGGACGAAAGUCUGACGGAGCAACGCCGCGUGAGUGAUGACGGCCUUCGGGUUGUAAAGCUCUGUUAAUCGGGACGAAAGGUCUUCUUGCGAAUAGUUAGAAGAAUUGACGGUACCGGAAUAGAAAGCCACGGCUAACUACGUGCCAGCAGCCGCGGUAAUACGUAGGUGGCAAGCGUUGUCCGGAAUUAUUGGGCGUAAAGCGCGCGCAGGCGGAUUGGUCAGUCUGUCUUAAAAGUUCGGGGCUUAACCCCGUGAUGGGAUGGAAACUGCCAAUCUAGAGUAUCGGAGAGGAAAGUGGAAUUCCUAGUGUAGCGGUGAAAUGCGUAGAUAUUAGGAAGAACACCAGUGGCGAAGGCGACUUUCUGGACGAAAACUGACGCUGAGGCGCGAAAGCCAGGGGAGCGAACGGGAUUAGAUACCCCGGUAGUCCUGGCCGUAAACGAUGGGUACUAGGUGUAGGAGGUAUCGACCCCUUCUGUGCCGGAGUUAACGCAAUAAGUACCCCGCCUGGGGAGUACGACCGCAAGGUUG
rnacentral:rRNA from 1 species